CGGGGAGAGUGCGAGCAGCGCGGGGAACGGCCUGCGGCAGGCAGCUCCACGCUGCCGCUGUCGUCGUCCAGUCCCUCCUCCCGAGGCCCCCCUCCCGCGUGGCCCGCUCCGCGGAGGCGCAGGUAGGGACGUGCCCCGGCCGGCGAGAGCCCACACACAGCCCUUGCGAGAGAGCAGGCGGACUGCGCGCCCCGCAAUUCUCGGGGAAGGAAGUAAGGAAACUGCUACUCGUGCUCUGCGUGCAUCCCGCGGAGGCUCCUGCGAGGUCCUAGAGCGGGCUGUGUGCUCAAGCCCUCUCCUGGCGACGCCUGCCCUGACAACUUCUAAAUGGCCAGCCCACCCCUGGGGAAAAGCAGAGAGGAAUCCUCUUUGGACUCUUGCACCUCAAAGGAAUGGCUAAGAUCAUCCACGGAGAAUGCCAAGUGAAAAGACCACUGAAAGAAACCAGGGGACAAUAACAUUCAAGGCACAGGCAGACGAAAAGAUGCUUCAGAAGAAAACUGAGGAGAAGCUGCUCUAAAGGAAAGAGAAGACAGAAGAGGUAGGCACCACAGCAAUCACUGAGAAGAAUCCCCAAAACAAGUAGCAGUCAAACGCCAUAUCCAUCACAGGACAAGCAAGUUGUCUGGAAACAAACCCGCAAUAUCUCUGAGCUAUGCCUGUAGUCUGGAAUCUAAGGAAACUGCCCCAAACACAGUCCACACCUGAGGAUAAUGCUCUGAUCCAAGGCCAAGAGAUCAGAGAGGCUGCUUGAACAAGUGGCUCCUCUAUCAAAGGCCCAGAGGUAAGAAGAGUUAGAGGUAAAGAUGAACUCGAAUGUCAGAAGAAAAGGAGGACUGUACAUAGUGGGGAAAUGGAGGAGUAUGUCUGGCAUGCAGAUGAUACACACAGGUGUCUCUUGGUAUUCCCUAGUCCAGUUACAGUAAAUGAAUGAGUGUAGCAACCACAAGCUUAGGAAGGGCAUGACCUUUGCAGACCUCCAGUGAUGAGGGCCUGAGUCAUAGUACUGGGUAACCCACGAAGAGCAGACAUGUAAGCCAAGGGGAGGCUGUAUCUAGAAUGGACAGCACAGGAGGGAGAAAAUGAUUCAGUUGUGGCCCAAAGGCCAACUAAGCAACAAGGGCCAUAGUCUGCCCCACUAUCGUCCUUCCUCCUGCCCACUGGGACCCUGAAGAGGCUGCUCCCCAAAGCGUAUGAAGAAGUGAAUCUGAGCAAAAUAAAAGGUGAGCUGUGGUCCGAGCUGUGCUGCACCACCCAGACUCACCCUGAGGAAUAAGGGACUUACUUCCCUAGAUGCUAGGAGUGACCAAGACACAGCUGUUACCUUUAGUCAUUUCAGGGACCAUCUCAGCUGAAGAGGGCUGCCUUGUACAAGGUCAUGUCCCUUCCCAGGGCAGCCUGUAUCCACUGACUGACCAUCACCGGUGUUGUGUUCCUUCACCUCCAAGUGGGACAGUUCUGAUGGGUCAUCUCUUCUGUAGAGCUCCCCAUCAUUGGCUGAGGUGUCCCUUAAGAGUACAUCACAGAUUGACUUCAGCCUCUGCCCACUCCUGCUUCCUUCCUUCCCUGCUACAGUGUGAUCCCACAGCACUCCCAUUGACCUGUGGCAGCUCAGGAGGCUUUCCGGGAAGCCCAACCUGUAAGAACUAGCAAUGUUUAUGCCUAUAGUUCAGAGUUGUCAUUCUCUAUUAAAUGAGAUGCUACAUAUCAAGUCAUCUGUGCAAUGCCUGAUAUACAGUAGGCAUUUAAUACAUACUCGUGAGAGAUGGGAUCUUGAAGAACAAGACAGAUAAGUUUAUAUAAACCCCAGGAUUAUAUGUGUCUUCUAUAUGCCAGGUGGUGACAGAUAUACAGUUCCUGAGACACAGAACAUAGGAAGCACAUAUUUUUUAAAAAUCUUUUUUUGAUAUUUAUUUUUGAGAAAGAGAGAGACAGAGAGAGAUGGAGACACAAAAUCUGAAGCCAGCUCCAGGCUCUGAGCUGUCAGCACGGAGCCCAACACAGAGUUUGAAUUCACGAGCCUCAAGAUCAUGACCUGAGCCGAAGUCAGACGCUUAACCCACAGAACCACCCAUGAGCCCCAGGAAGCAUGUAUAUUAAAUUUAUUCUCAGAUCUGCUGGAAAAUAGUAGCCAACACAAAAUUCAGUACCACAAUCCCAUUAUUUGCUAUAUUGAUUGUAGCCCUAUUUUGUACUGAUCAUAAAGAUAUAAAAAUUUCAGAAUUCUAACUGCAUUAAAAAAAAAAGGAAUACUAAAUACAUCCUAAAAUUCUGGUAUGUUAAUUUUUAUUAUAAAACACCAGCAGGGGGCGCCUGGGUGGCUCAGUUGGUUAAGCGGCUGACUUCAGCUCAGAGCAUGAUCUCACAGAUCCUGGAAUGAGUUCCAGCCCCACGUCGGGCUCUGUGCUGACAGCUCAGAGCCUGGAGCCUGCUUCAGGUUCUGUGUCUCCCUCUCUCUCUGCCCCUCCCCUGCUCACACUCUCUUUCACUCUCUCAAAAAUAAACAUUAAAAAAAAAUUAAACAAAACAAAACAAAAACACCGGAGUUCACUAAUUACCAAGAAAGCCUGAAGGUCCCUCACAAAAUUUUGGGAGAUUUUAUAUAUUCAAACAGACAAGAAUGUAAAGUACUUUAAUAACAAAUUAAAUCCCUUUUCAACACUUUGUAUUUAUUAAAUCACAGAAUCUAUCAUAUUUUAAGUUAUAUUCAUGGCAAAGGAUCACAUCAAAACAAGAUAAUUGGAUUCCUUUCAUGAGCACAUGAAAGUUUAAUUAAAAAAUUAAACUUUUUGCAAAAUUCAAUCAUACUCAAAUAUUAAGCACAUACAUUUUAAAGUUUCCUAUGUGAUGUACCCACUUAGCAUCAGCUAAAUUUUCUAAUAUAAGAGAUGAUAUAUGUGCUAAUAUUUGAAUCAACGGCCCAACUUAGCACAAUCUCAUGUUCGAA